rnacentral:lncRNA from 1 species
UAAACUUCAUGUUCCUGGGGUCUCCAUAUCUAUGUGACCUGUUAUAUGGUUUGCCCUCUUCCUCACGGGACAUGUGCACGAGCAGCUGACAGAAAAGGAGGAAGAAAUCGUGGACUGGUGGAGUAAAUUUUAUGCUUCCUCAGGGGAACAUGAAAAAUGCGGACAGUAUAUUCAGAAAGGCUAUUCCAAGCUCAAGGUACCUGGAUCUAUGCUGCUAUGGGUGGAGAAUCAACAUCCUUUGAAACUGGCCACAGGCAGAGCUAAGAGGAUGACUAAAAGGUCCCUUGGGUGGGUGCUAAUGAGCAGGGCCCAGGAAAACCUCUGUCUUCCCGGAGAGCCCUCUUGCAUGAGUUUCGGCUUUGCCAAGAUUCCAGGGACUUGAGGACAGCUAUUGAGUUAUGGUUACGUGACUGCCACAUUGGGGCUUGGAGGCAUCUGGCAGAUGGUUGGGAAUGGGCUGGCACCACACUAAUUAGGCCACGA